rnacentral:rRNA from 1 species
CACGUAGGGUGCGAGCGUUGUCCGGAAUUAUUGGGCGUAAAGAGCUCGUAGGCGGUGUGUCGCGUCGGCCGUGAAAACCUGCAGCUUAACUGUGGGCUUGCGGUCGAUACGGGCAUCACUGGAGUUCGGCAGGGGAGACUGGAAUUCCUGGUGUAGCGGUGAAAUGCGCAGAUAUCAGGAGGAACACCGGUGGCGAAGGCGGGUCUCUGGGCCGAUACUGACACUGAGGCGCGAAAGCUAGGGGAGCGAACGGG